rnacentral:rRNA from 1 species
UACAUGGGGUGCAAACGUUGCUCGGAAUUAUUGGGCGUAAAGCGCACGUAGGCGGUUCGUUAAGUCGGAUGUGAAAGCCCUCGGCUCAACUGAGGAAGUGCACCCGAAACUGGCGAGCUUGAGUACGAAAGAGGAUCGCGGAAUUCCCGGUGUAGAGGUGAAAUUCGUAGAUAAGUCGGGGAGGAACACCGGGUGGCGAAGGCGGCGAUCUGGGUCGAUACUGAACGCGUGAGGUGGCGAAAGCGUGGGGAGCAAACAGG